GGCGCCAUUCUUGGGGCCUGGCCCGAGGGCUGCGCGGCCGCCGCCGCUGCUGCCCGCCCCGGUGUAGUCGGAGGUAGCAAGGCACGGCAGCGAGUGCAGCCCUCGGUCACGCUAGCUCAGGAGCUCAUGUUCUUCCUCGCCGGUGGAGUGCAGAGGAUACAGCUGGCUCCUACCCGGCCAGGCCAGGCCUGACCUGGCAGCGGGGUGUGAGGCCGGCCGUGUAGGUCCCUAUCCCAGCCGGCUCUCCACAGGGCUCAACAGCACCAGCCCCUCUGGCAGGCAGGGCCUCUGAGGUGAGGUCACAGCAAUUACAGGCUUGGACAAACAUCAGUGAUCCCACAGGCUUGCUAACAGCCUCGGCUCUGCUGCGUGGCCCUUGCAGGGCCUGUCCAGGUAGACUCAGUGCAAGGCAAAACCCUGCCCUGCUGUUAACUGCCAGCCCUGCCUCCUCGCGGCCCCUGAUGAUGGGAAAACAUGUGCUCCAGUAUGGAUCCGUUCCUGUUACACAGCACUGG